rnacentral:rRNA from 1 species
UACAGAGGUCUCGAGCGUUAGGCGGAAUCACUGGGCUUAAAGCGUGUGUAGGCGGAUCGGUAAGUACCUUGUGAAAUCCCAUGGCUUAACCAUGGAACUGCUUGGUAUACUGCCAGUCUUGAGCCAGCUAGGGGCUACCGGAACAAAUGGUGGGGCGGUGAAAUGCGUAGAUAUCAUUUGGAACGCCAAUGGUGAAAACAGGUAGCUGGGGCUGUGCUGACGCUGAGACACGAAAGCCAGGGGAGCAAACGGG